rnacentral:rRNA from 1 species
CCUACGGGUGGCUGCAGUGGGGAAUAUUGGACAAUGGGCGAAAGCCUGAUCCAGCCAUGCCGCGUGUGUGAAGAAGGCCUUCGGGUUGUAAAGCACUUUCAGUGGGGAAGAAAGCCUUGGGGCUAAUACCCUCGAGGAAGGACAUCACCCACAGAAGAAGCACCGGCUAACUCCGUGCCAGCAGCCGCGGUAAUACGGAGGGUGCGAGCGUUAAUCGGAAUUACUGGGCGUAAAGCGCGCGUAGGCGGGCUGAUAAGCCGGUUGUGAAAGCCCCGGGCUCAACCUGGGAACGGCAUCCGGAACUGUCAGGCUAGAGUGCAGGAGAGGAAGGUAGAAUUCCCGGUGUAGCGGUGAAAUGCGUAGAGAUCGGGAGGAAUACCAGUGGCGAAGGCGGCCUUCUGGACUGACACUGACGCUGAGGUGCGAAAGCGUGGGUAGCAAACAGGAUUAGAUACCCCUGGUAGUC